rnacentral:rRNA from 1 species
GAUGAACGCUGGCGGCGUGCCUAAUACAUGCAAGUCGAGCGAACAGAUGAGGAGCUUGCUCCUCUGACGUUAGCGGCGGACGGGUGAGUAACACGUGGAUAACCUACCUAUAAGACUGGGAUAACUUCGGGAAACCGGAGCUAAUACCGGAUAAUAUAUUGAACCGCAUGGUUCAGUAGUGAAAGACGGUUUUGCUGUCACUUAUAGAUGGAUCCGCGCCGCAUUAGCUAGUUGGUAAGGUAACGGCUUACCAAGGCGACGAUGCGUAGCCGACCUGAGAGGGUGAUCGGCCACACUGGAACUGAGACACGGUCCAGACUCCUACGGGAGGCAGCAGUAGGGAAUCUUCCGCAAUGGGCGAAAGCCUGACGGAGCAACGCCGCGUGAGUGAUGAAGGUCUUCGGAUCGUAAAACUCUGUUAUUAGGGAAGAACAAAUGUGUAAGUAACUAUGCACGUCUUGACGGUACCUAAUCAGAAAGCCACGGCUAACUACGUG